GUAAAAGAAAAAUGAAACUCACACAGGUUCCUUCCUGUCUUGCUGGAAGCUGCUUCUGAGACCAUUUUUGCUUUUUUGCCCCUGCUUCCCAGUCUCCAAAUUAUAGGGUCCUACGGGGCUCUUUCCCUAUACUGCUCCCUGCCACGUGUGUAUUUCUUCCUCAGGUGACCCUGUCUAUUUCCACUACCGAAAUACUGCAGAGUGGAGGACUCUGAGACGCCCAGCUUCCGUCGCAAGCUCCAGACUCAGGCAUCCUGACAUUACCAUCUAGAUCCCUAAAUGGAAGAUUCCAUUUCAAACAUCCAGAACGGGGGCACCUGGGUGGCUCAGUCAGUUAAUGCUCGUUUCGAACCUGUGCUGUAUCAGGGAAUGAAAAACUCUUCCUCUACCCUUCUAGAUCUUCCGGCCGGACAAAGAAUUACAUCCACACGAGAACAGUCAUGGAAUGCAAGCACCUGCUGAAUCACAGGGAAAUAAGACCCAGAAAGGCCAUGGAACUUCCAGAUGUCACACAAGCUGGACGGAACUGGGAAGAGGAAGGUCUGCAAUUGUGCGUCUCGGGAGCACGUUUGCAGCAGGAAGGACUGGGGUGUUAAUUCCAGCAGCAGUGUGAACUGAGAAGCUGCCCUGGGUUUGCAGCAGGGCUGGCAAACAGUGGUUCCUCAUCUGGACAGGUGCGUGCACCUAAUUUCUGAGUCAUUGUCAUCUGAUGCAGGACGUUCGUUCCAGCAAGGACACUGGCCCGGGGCGCCUGGGGAAGGCAGUCGUGUCAGGUGCUGUGAUAAAGCCAAGUCUGACUGUCUUGCUUCUGUGAUCAAAGGAAACACGGCACUCGUGUUUCCACAGUGUACCUGUGGCCCAUGACCUUCAUCAGGAGACUGGAGACACCAUGGGCAAGGUGCCGCCGGACCCGCCCCUGCAGCCGGCAAGUCACGGAAAGCCGUGCAGGACACGGACGCCUGUGCAGACUGCCGGGCCCCUGACUGCAGCCCAUCCAUCCCCAAGCAAAUGCUCUUCUCCGUUUCUCAUCUUGGGUGGAACCAUCUCUCAGGACAUGUGGGUACCUAGCACAGUAAAGCCUUAAACACCCCACGGACAUUGUAGGGUUUGCCUCCUUUUAAAUAUUUGUGAAGUGAAGGGGUUUGAGUAAGAAACGAUGUCAUGCUGAUAUGAUGCCUGAUUAGGGACAUUGGGAAUGCUCUGUUUGCUAUUUUUACAUAGAAAUAAAAUGUGAGAGAGAUUACACAUUAUCUGGGUAUUUAAGGCACCAUUAUCAAGAGCAGAAAAUUAAGGAAAGAGUAACAUAUUGGAAAUAAGUUUAAUACAUCUAAGACGAGUGUGAGUUGGCUUCAGUGUAAGCCCAAGGAUGGGCGAGCGUCACCGGGAGGCGGCGGUCUGUGCUGAAGGCAGGGUCUGUGGGAUGCGAGACAACCUUUUCUUGUGUUCCUUUUUCUUAUGUAGUUUAUGAGGGACGGUCACACAUACAAACAUGCACUCAUGGACUUCCCAAAACAUUGAUGUGCUCUCUCACCGAUUUCCAGAGGAUGAUUCAACAUUUAAAAAAAAAAAUGUAUUUGAGGGGCACCUGGGUGGCUCAGUGGGUUAAGCCUCUGCCUUGGGCUCAGGUCAUGAUCUCAGGGUCCUGGGAUCGAGCCCCACAUCAGGCUCUCCGCUCAUCAGGGAGCUUCCUUCCCGCUCUCUCUCUGCCUGCCCUUCUGCCUGCUAGUGAUCCCUCUCUCUCUCUCUGUCAAAUAAAUAAAUAUAACAUUUUUAAAAACUGUAUUUGAGAAUUCAACACUGGACAAAAGAAUUUUUAUAGUGAAAUUCUGUGUUCAUGUGAUAGCAGUUUGCUUUUCUCAUACUUUAUCCCUUUUUGUGAC